UAACACCUGGAAACAGAUGCUAAUACCGGAUAACAACAGAUGAUGCCUAUCAACUGUUUAAAAGAUGGUUCUGCUAUCACUCUUGGAUGGACCUGCGGUGCAUUAGCUAGUUGGUAGGGUAACAGCCUACCAAGGCGAUGAUGCAUAGCCGAGUUGAGAGACUGAUCGGCCACAUUGGGACUGAGACACGGCCCAAACUCCUACGGGAGGCAGCAGCC
rnacentral:rRNA from 1 species